GGUUAUUCUGCAGAUCGUAUAAAUCUUUUGCCUUUUACUAAAGAUUUUCUUGGAGAGGAACAACAAC
ensembl:snRNA U5 U5 spliceosomal RNA